CGAAAUAUUAACCCGUCGUCGUUCAAUCAAGCUCAAGCUCUUCUUUUUGGCAAAUGCCCUUGGCCUUAAAGGGUGUUAUUUCCAACUUGUCGAAAUACAGAACCGUCAACGUUCGAUCAAGGUCAAACUCUUCUUUUUGGCGAAGGCCAUAAGCCUUAAAGGGUAUUAUUUCGAGCAUGUCGAAAUAUUAACCGGUCGUCGUUCGAUCAAGGUUGAACUCUUCUUUUUGGCGAAGGCCCUUGGCCUUAAAGGGUGUUAUUUUGAACUUUUUGAAAUAUUAAGCCGUCGUCGUUUGAUCAAGAUCGAACUGUUCUUUUUGGUGAAGUCCCUUAGCCUUAAAUGGUGUUAUUUCGAGCUUGUCGAAAUACUUAACCGUCAUCGUUCGAUCAAGGUUGAACUCUUCUUUUUGGUGAAGGCCCUUGGCCUUAAAUGGUGUUAUUUUGAAUUUUCGAAAUAUUAACCCGUCGUCGUUCAAUCAAGGUCAAACUCUUCUUUUUAGUAAAUGCCCUUGGCCUUAAAGGGUGUUAUUUUGAACUUGUCAAAAUACAGAACCGUCAACGUUCGAUCAAGGUCAAACUCUUCUUUUUGGCAAAGGCCCUAAGACUUAAAGGGUGUUAUUUCGAGAAUGUCGAAAUAUUAACCGGUCGCCGUUCGAUCAAGGUGGAUCUCUUCUUUUUGGCGAAGGCCCUUGGCCUUAAAGGGUGUUAUUUUGAACUUUUCGAAAUAUUAAACCGUCGUUGUUCGAUCAAUGACGAACUAUUCUUUUU
rnacentral:lncRNA from 1 species